rnacentral:rRNA from 1 species
GAUAAUAUGAGAGUGGCGAACGGGUGAGUAACACGUAAGAAUCUACCUUUAGGACGGGGAUAACUUCUGGAAACGGAUGCUAAUACCCGAUAUGCUGUGGAGUGAAAUGAAUUUCGCCUAAAGAUGAUCUUGCGUCUGAUUAGCUAGAUAGGGUGGUAAUGGCGCCCUAUGGCGACGAUCAGUAGCUGGUCUGAGAGGAUGGACAGCCACAUUGGGACUGAGACACGGCCCAAACUCCUACGGGAGGCAGCAGUGGGGAAUUUUCCGCAAUGGGCGAAAGCCUGACGGAGCGACGCUGCGUGAAGGAUGACGGCCUGAGGGUUGUAAACUUCUUUUCUCGAAGAAGAAUCAAUGACGGUAUUCGAGGAAUAAGCAUCGGCUAACUCUGUGCCAGCAGCCGCGGUAAGACAGAGGAUGCAAGUGUUAUUCGGAUUGAUUGGGCGUAAAGCGUCUGUAGGCGGUUUAGAAAGUCUUUUGUGAAAUACUUCAGCUCAACUGGAGCUCCGCAAAAGAAACUUCUAGACUUGAGGGAAGUAGAGGUACAGGGAAUUUCCGGUGGAGCGGUGAAAUGCGUAGAUAUCGGAAGGAACACCAAUAUGGCGAAGGCACUGUACUGGGCUUUACCUGACGCUAAGAGACGAAAGCUAAAG